rnacentral:rRNA from 1 species
GAUGAACGCUGGCGGCGUGCCUAAUACAUGCAAGUCGAGCGAACAGACGAGGAGCUUGCUCCUCUGACGUUAGCGGCGGACGGGUGAGUAACACGUGGAUAACCUACCUAUAAGACUGGGAUAACUUCGGGAAACCGGAGCUAAUACCGGAUAAUAUAUUGAACCGCAUGGUUCAAUAGUGAAAGACGGUUUUGCUGUCACUUAUAGAUGGAUCCGCGCCGCAUUAGCUAGUUGGUAGGGUAACGGCUUACCAAGGCAACGAUGCGUAGCCGACCUGAGAGGGGGAUCGGCCACACGGGAACUGAGACGGGGUCCAGACUCCUGCGGGAGGCAGCAGAAGGGAAUCUUCCGCAGUGGGCGAAAGCCUGACGGAGCAACGCCGCGUGAGUGAUGAAGGUCUUCGGAUCGUAAAACUCUGUUAUUAGGGAAGAACAAAUGUGUAAGUAACUAUGCACGUCUUGACGGUACCUAAUCAGAAAGCCACGGCUAACUACGUG